rnacentral:rRNA from 1 species
UACAGAGGGUGCGAGCGUUAAUCGGAAUUACUGGGCGUAAAGCGUGCGUAGACGGUUAUUUAAGUCGGGUGUGAAAGCCCCGGGCUCAACCUGGGAAUUGCAUUCGAGACUGAAUAGCUAGGGUACGGUAGAGGGAAGUGGAAUUUCCGGUGUAGCGGUGAAAUGCGUAGAUAUCGGAAGGAACAUCAGUGGCGAAGGCGACAUCCUGGACCGGUAUUGACGCUGAGGCGCGAAAGCCAGGGGAGCAAAGCGGG